UCUUGGGUUUCCUGGGUGCCCUCGGUUUCCUGGCCAAUGCACCAAAUGUAAGACCCCCUUUCGGGGACCCCCACUCUAGCCUCGGGAGAGAGAGAGAGAACCCAAAGAAACACCAGAAUCC
rnacentral:pre_miRNA from 7 species